GUCAGGAUGGCCGAGUGGUCUAAGGCGCCAGACUCAAGACUUCACUUUCCCCUGUGGGAUUUUCUGGUCUCUGUAUGGAGGCGUGGGUUCAAAUCCCAAUUCUGCCA
rnacentral:tRNA from 1 species